GUUAUCGUUGAAGUACGAGCAGCUUCGUCAUUGCUUUCGUUGGGCAGUUUCUUUUUCCUGCAGUGCGCAAGACCGGCGGUCAAAGCUAUAUUUGAAAUGUCCUCCUGUCCUGCAGACGCCUCUGAGUUUUUAUUUGCAACAAACAGGUCCAAUCCGUCAUGGUACGUGCCCUCAAAGUGAGGAUCACUCGUAAUCAGAAACAGUGGUUCUCUGCCGUUUUACCCAGAUCGUUCCUCGUCGCCGGGAAAGCGUCCGAAGACGCCGCCAUUCUGAAUUUCCCGGGUUCCUCGUCCUCGGAGUGACUUUCGUCUGUUUUAACCUUCCGCGAUUUCACGUGUACAGGUGAAUCUCCUGUCUAAGUUCCCACCGCCUCACCCCUGUACUCGUCCUCAGGGAUACAACACCGCUAUUUCAGCCACGUCUUGUUUGCCUCUGUCCACGUUGCGUUAUGUAUUGGAGAGCACGGUGAAAAGCUUGAGGUUCCCUUUCUUCAUUAUUGUUCGUUGUCACUCACUCAGGAGUCGAUGCUGUCUUUCUUCACCGCUGGCCUUCUGAACAUAUCGUCGUUAACCCCACAGUGCUUGUUUUCUUCCGUUACUUUCUCACGUUUGUCGUUCUCUAGGUCUGCCAGGCAUAGCCGCCAAUACUCGCGUUCUUAUCGUCCUAUAUCCUGCAUCUGCAGGUUCCUUAGCAAGCUAUAUCUCCUUUAUGGUGUUUGCCAUUUCUCGCUGCUUCACAUUUCGUUCCGAUAUACGGAAACUGUCGUUCUCUCAAGCGCCGUGUGACUGUCCUAGAGCCACCCUAACCGAUCCACUACCGUCUGUGGACCCAAAGUCUCAGCG
rnacentral:lncRNA from 1 species